UCCGGUGAUGGCAUGGAAUCUUUGAGACCUGAUUGUGCAAUUUGAUGAAAACUAUAAGCAUUGUCUCUGAGGAU